rnacentral:rRNA from 1 species
UCAUGUGAGCCUACUUCCUUGUCAGUGUCGUCUCAUCAGAUCUUGGAAGCUAAGCAUGUCCGGGCCUGGUUAGUGCUUGGAUGGGAGACCGCUGGGAAAUAUGAGGCGCUACAGUGGA